GAUGAACGCUGGCGGCGUGCCUAAUACAUGCAAGUCGAGCGAACGGACGAGAAGCUUGCUUUUCUGAUGUUAGCGGCGGACGGGUGAGUAACACGUGGAUAACCUACCUAUAAGACUGGGAUAACUUCGGGAAACCGGAGCUAAUACCGGAUAAUAUUUUGAACCGCAUGGUUCAAAAGUGAAAGACGGUCUUGCUGUCACUUAUAGAUGGAUCCGCGCUGCAUUAGCUAGAUGGUAAGGUAACGGCUUACCAAGGCAACGAUGCAUAGCCGACCUGAGAGGGUGAUCGGCCACACUGGAACUGAGACACGGUCCAGACUCCUACGGGAGGCAGCAGUAGGGAAUCUUCCGCAAUGGGCGAAAGCCUGACGGAGCAACGCCGCGUGAGUGAUGAAGGUCUUCGGAUCGUAAAACUCUGUUAUUAGGGAAGAACAUAUGUGUAAGUAACUGUGCACAUCUUGACGGUACCUAAUCAGAAAGCCACGGCUAACUACGUG
rnacentral:rRNA from 1 species